CAGUGAGGGUGAGCAGGCUCCAUUGUGUAAAACAUGCUCGGUGUGGUACGGAGCUACAGGAAGUCACAACACUUCUGGACAAGCUGACACUAGGCAGAAAGCAGAGAGUCGAAGACUCAGGUUUCAAGUGAGCAGAGACUCAGAGUGGCACUUAAUGUGUUUAUUUUGCAGAAGGAAACCACCUGGGACACACUCUUUGGCUGACCUGGAGGAGAGGCAUCUUGCCCUUCUCUCUUUCUGCAUCCUCCAGUCUCCCUUCAGAAACGGAAUUCGUGGCUUCCUUGAAAACCUCCUCUCAACCUGGCACAAAAACAAGAAAGAAGCUUGAAAAACAGAUCGUGAACAGACAGCCUCCCCCCCAGAUUUCAACCCCCCGCCCCAUCCGACCUUCAGUGUCCUUCUCGACGUUUCAGCGAGGCAUCCUGAAACCAGGAGUCCUGAUGGCCAUCCCAGCUAUGGGGCUGGGAUGGGGGAUGAAUAAAGAGAGCAAAUCAAGGCAAUGGAGGGAGUGAGAGAAGAUGAAAGGAGGGUUUAGUCAGGGAAGCCUUCUUGGAGGAGAUGUGCCUUCAAUAAGGCUUUGAAAGUGGAGAGAGUCAUUGUCUGUCAGAUGUGAAGAGGGAGGGCCAUCCAGGCCAGAGACAGGAUGUGGCCGAGCGGUCGGCGACUAAACCGAACAAGACGGACGUCCAGGGAGAAGUCUGGCGUUAGAGGAGUGAAGUGUGCAGUCUGGGUCUUAGUAGGAGAACACUGUAAGUGCUCAGUAUAUUGCUUUGUACACAGCAGGUAUUUGGCAAGUAGCCCUGAUUGACUGAAGCCAUUAGUCACUGAAGCCAGUGGAUAGAGCACGAGCCUGGAAGUCAGAAGGUCACGGGUUCUACUCCCGGCUCUGCCACUUGUCUGCCGUGUGACCUGGGGCAAGUCUGGUCUGGAUGGCUCAGCUCUGGGCCUCAUUUACCCCAAUCUGUAAAAUGGGGAUUAAGACCGUGAGCAGACGGUGAGCCUCACACGGGACAGGGACUGUGUCCAGCCUGAUUUGCACUCCUGGCUCUGCCACUUGUCUGCAGCGUGACCCUGGGCAAGUCACUUCACUUCUCUGAGCCUCAGUUACCGCAUCUGUAAAAUGGGGAUUAAGACUGUGAGCUGAGACUCACGCAGGAGAGGGACUGUGUCCAUCCAGAUUUGCUUGUAUCCACCCCAGCGCUUAGAACAGUGCCAGGCACACAGCAAGCGAUUAACAAAUACGAUCCUUAUUCAGAUUAGUUUGGAGUCACAGAUUUCAGGGCUAGCCUGCAACACGCCUUGGAGCUGGCUGACGGCCAGAAGGAAACGGACCCACAAGAUGACAGCACCCUCUUCCAUCCUGCCCAUUUCCCCCUCUGCCCUCUUGCAUUCAAAAUGAGAAGUUGGCAUUGGGGGCGACUAUUCCAAAGUCAUCUGCGUAUUAGGUGAA
rnacentral:lncRNA from 1 species